rnacentral:rRNA from 1 species
UGGGGAAUAUUGCACAAUGGGCGCAAGCCUGAUGCAGCCAUGCCGCGUGUGUGAAGAAGGCCUUCGGGUUGUAAAGCACUUUCAGCGAGGAGGAAGGUGGUGAGCUUAAUACGCUCAUCAAUUGACGUUACUCGCAGAAGAAGCACCGGCUAACUCCGUGCCAGCAGCCGCGGUAAUACGGAGGGUGCAAGCGUUAAUCGGAAUUACUGGGCGUAAAGCGCACGCAGGCGGUUUGUUAAGUCAGAUGUGAAAUCCCCGGGCUCAACCUGGGAACUGCAUUUGAAACUGGCAAGCUAGAGUCUCGUAGAGGGGGUAGAAUUCCAGGUGUAGCGGUGAAAUGCGUAGAGAUCUGGAGGAAUACCGGUGGCGAAGGCGGCCCCCUGGACGAAGACUGACGCUCAGGUGCGAAAGCGUGGGGAGCAAACAGAUUAGAUACCCUGGUAGUCCACGCUGUAAACGAUGUCGAUUUUGGAGGUUAUGCCCUUGAGGCGU